rnacentral:tRNA from 1 species
GCGUCCGUAGCUCAAUUGGACAGAGCGUAUGGCUUCGGACCAUAAGGUUGCGGGUUCAACUCCUGCCGGACGCG